UAUGUUGAAACAGUGGUUUCCGUACGAUUACGGAAGUUAAGCAACGUCGAGACUUGGCAGUACCUAGAUGGGUGACCGCUUGGGAAUACCAGGCGAUGUAAG